GAUGCCAAAUUGUCUCUUGUCUGCAUAUACUGUAUAUUGAUUAAUAUUAACGGUCUCUAGGCUGUCCGUCUAUAAAUUGCCACUGAAAUUGAUAAUUUGGUCCAGAAGGUGGCAGUAGUUCACCAAUGUGCAUGUCAGCUGCAGUACAUUUUCAAAGAAGAAGUGCAGUCCUGUCUUUGGUUGUAAAGUGACCUCUGGUUGUUAGCUUGCUGUAAAACUAUGGCGCCUCCAGUUGCAGUGUCGCCUUUGAUUAAGACGGCAAGGUAUUCAGCUUUGAUUGCUGGCAUCCUCUAUGGCAAAAAAAGAUAUGAAAACCUGAAGCCAAUUGCAGCUGAGGAGAGGAGGAUUGAGGAGGAAGAGAAAAAGGUUCGCGAAGAGCAGGAGCGCAUCGCCAAGGCGCUUGCAGAAGCAAGUGAAGAUACUAUUCUGAAGUAAAGCUGGUGUGCAGUCUGAGGAUGUCAAUGUGCAAUUCCCAACAUCUCCUUCCUUUUCCUGGAGUAACAAUGGCAAAGGCGGGUCCCAAGCAGUCAACCACUCCCGUGUUGUAGACCCACUCCCUUUUACCUUGUAUGAUACAACUCUAUAGAAUGCCAGAGUGACUAUAAACUAGUUACAUGAUCUAAAAUAAAAGUUUUUGGACUCCUUAUUGUAGCACUGCAAAUGCAGCUGCAUAAGUAAUAAUGUUCAUGUUUGUAAUGAAAUGUCAUAAAUCCAAAAGUACAUGACCACU